rnacentral:rRNA from 1 species
GACGAACGCUGGCGGCGUGCCUAAUACAUGCAAGUCGAACGCAGUGGGGACGGGUGAGUAACACGUGGGUAACCUCCCAUCAGAGGGGAUAACACUUGGAAACAGGUGCUAAACCGAUACUGAUGGAUGGACCCGCGGGGCAUUAGCUAGUGGGUGGGGUAACGGCUCACCAAGGCAACGAUGCAUAGCCGACCUGAGAGGGUGAUCGGCCACACUGGAACUGAGACACGGCCCAGACUCCUACGGGAGGCAGCAGUAGGGAAUAUUCGGCAAUGGACGCAAGUCUGAUCGAGCCAAGCCGCGUGAGUGAAGAAGGUUUUCGGGUCGUAAAGCUCUGUUGUUAGAGAAGCGGUAUCCAAAGAGAAAGCCACGGCUAACUACGUGCCAGCAGCCGCGGUAAUAC